AGGACUAUAUCUCAAAGGAUUAGAGCACGUGGCUACGAACCACGUCGUCUGGGGUUCGAAUCCCCCUCGCCCAA
rnacentral:tRNA from 2 species